UGUAGUAGGGGUGCAGAAAUGCAAAAUUUUCUCUAAUCGAUUACUCUUCCCAUUGUUAAAGCGAGUACUCGAGUAAUCGUUUUGUAGCCCCUGCCCCCAACUAUGACGCGAUGCCGACUGUAUCUAUUGAUUAAUUUGAAUCUUCGGGAUUUUAAUAAUUGUUAGUAAGAUGCCUUUGUAUUAACAUUCAAAUAUGACAUUUCUUACUUCAACAGACAACAAACCUCAAAUAAAAAUUCACACAGACGUGUUAUGACCGUUUUAACACUUCAUUAUAAUUAGAGCAGUGAGUGUGGCGAGCGGACGUGCAGACAUCAAUGCGCACUCAUCACACGUUGAAGCUGUUUUGACAGCAACAUUCUGUUAACAAAGACUACAGUCUGCAGUGUAGAGCACACUUUACUCUGGUAAAUGAAGUUACAAUAGAACAGGUGAACAAUUUAAGUGUCUGUCUGUUUCAUCUUUCUCCUCUGUGCGUAAUGACACACUCGCUCAAUCUCGCUCGUCCGUCCGGUAUGAGCUAUUUCUCCCUAUAAGGUUGUUCUGUUUUGUAGUUAUUAAAAGAAUAAUCAUCUAAAAUUCCAAAAUAUAGGAAAACAUCUAGUUAUGCUGCUCUGUCCUGGAUGAUCAAACGUCAUUGGUUUAGCGGAGUAAAGCGUUAAUCACUGAAGUGAAAGUCCUUCUUUUUCUGUGGACUAAAAAGAUAAUUUGAACUGAACUUUCAUAGAUCAUAUUGCAUAUUUUGUUUGUUUGGGACUUUUUGUUCAUUGUGAAUUCAUAGGGGGGUUAAUUAAAGGGAUAUUUUUGUUAGGGUAGCAGCGUACAGAUCAACAACGGACGCGUUUCAGCACAGAGCCUUUAUCAGCGCUUUGUUUGUCAUCUAUUUUCUUUUUGCGCUCGUGCUCCUUUUUUUCUGUUUUGAAUUAGGCCUAUCCUAGAACCCACAAUGCAACAAGAAA